rnacentral:rRNA from 1 species
UACGUAGGGUGCGAGCGUUGUCCGGAUUUAUUGGGCGUAAAGCGCGUGUAGGCGGCUCGAUAAGUCUGCUGUGAAAGUUCAGGGCUCAACCCUGAAAUGCCGGUGGAAACUGUCGAGCUAGAGUCCGGAAGAGGAGAGUGGAAUUCCUGGUGUAGCGGUGAAAUGCGCAGAUAUCAGGAAGAACACCCGUGGCUAAGGCGGCUCUCUAGUACGGUACUGACGCUGAGACGGCGAAAGCGUGGGGAGCGAACAGG